rnacentral:rRNA from 1 species
AUUGAACGCUGGCGGCAUGCCUUACACAUGCAAGUCGAACGGUAACAGAUCUUCGGAUGCUGACGAGUGGCGAACGGGUGAGUAAUACAUCGGAACGUGCCUAGUAGUGGGGGAUAACUACUCGAAAGAGUGGCUAAUACCGCAUGAGAUCUACGGAUGAAAGCAGGGGAUCGCAAGACCUUGUGCUACUAGAGCGGCCGAUGGCAGAUUAGGUAGUUGGUGGGAUAAAGGCUUACCAAGCCGACGAUCUGUAGCUGGGGUGAGGGGACGAUCAGCCACACGGGGACGGAGACACGGCCCAGACUCCUCCGGGAGGCAGCAGUGGGGAAUGUUGGACAAUGGGCGCAAGCCUGAUCCAGCAAGGCCGCGUGCAGGAUGAAGGCCUUCGGGUUGUAAACUGCUUUUGUACGGAACGAAAAGCCCUGGGUUAAUACCCUGGAGUCAUGACGGUACCGUAAGAAUAAGCACCGGCUAACUACGUGCCAGCCGCCGCGGUAAAAC